UACGGAAGGGGCUAGCGUUGUUCGGAAUCACUGGGCGUAAAGCGCGCGCAGGCGGCACGAUCAGUGCGGCGUGAAAGUCCUGGGCUCAACCUGGGGACGGCGCUGCAGACUGUCGUGCUGGAGUCCGGGAGAGGGUGGUGGAAUUCCGAGUGUGGAGGUGAAAUUCGUAGAUAUUCGGAGGAACACCGGUGGCGAAGGCGGCCACCUGGCCCGGAACUGACGCUCAAGCGCGAAAGCGUGGGGAGCAAACAGG
rnacentral:rRNA from 1 species